GAUGAAGAACGCAGCGAAAUGCGAUAAGUAAUGUGAAUUGCAGAAUUCAGUGAAUCAUCGAAUCUUUGAACGCACAUUGCGCCCGCCAGUAUUCUGGCGGGCAUGCCUGUUCGAGCGUCAUUUCAACCCUCAAGCCCCCGGGCUUGGUGUUGGGGAUCGGCGUGCCCUCGCGGCGCGCCGUCCCCUAAAUCUAGUGGCGGUCUCGCUGUAGCUUCCUCUGCGUAGUAGCAACACUCGCACUGGAUCGCAGCGCGGCCACGCCGUAAAACACCCAACUCUUCUGAAGUUGACCUCGAAUCAGGUAGGAAUACCCGCUGAACUUAAGCAUAUCAAUAAGCGGAGGA
rnacentral:misc_RNA from 1 species